UACGUAGGUCCCGAGCGUUGUCCGGAUUUAUUGGGCGUAAAGCGAGCGCAGGUGGUUUAUUAAGUCUGGUGUAAAAGGCAGUGGCUCAACCAUUGUAUGCAUUGGAAACUGGUAGACUUGAGUGCAGGGGAGGAGAGUGGAAUUCCAUGUGUAGCGGUGAAAUGCGUAGAUAUAUGGAGGAACACCGGUGGCGAAAGCGACUCUCUGGCCUGUAACUGACACUGAGGCUCGAAAGCGUGGGGAGCAAACAGG
rnacentral:rRNA from 1 species